GGGACAGCUGGGAGCCUGUAUUUCUGAAGCCCUAGAGAUCCAGGGGGAGGCCCAGAGGCUGCCAGAAGGCCCCCUUCCUGAAAACAGAGACAAGAAAAGGAGGGAGUCUGCCAAGGGCAUUUUGGGCACCCAGCCCGGCUGAGAUAUUGGCACAGCAUCAUGGGCAGGGAGAGCUGGGCUGGGAAGGUUUCCUGGUAACUGAGGGGCAGGGGAAGGGGCCGGGUGGCCUGAUGGGGGAAUUAAGUAGCUGGGGCGGGCCAGUUGAGGCCUGGGGGUGCGACAGGCAGAAAGCAGGGGCUCGGGGGCACCUGCCUUUGCCAGGAAGCAGGCCGGUCCCCUUACCGCGCCAGAGGGAGCAGCGUCAUCAAGACUUUGUGUCUCAGAAGGUCCCGAUGCAGCUCCUGGAAAUGACGGAACUUCUUUUUGGUGGUCCAGAAUGCAGGUCUCCUUGUCUCCCGGCUUGAUGGACAUCCGGGUUGUUUCUCGGAUGUUGCGAUAAAACUCCCAUUAACAUUCCUGUAAUAACACCCAGUGCUGAUCCCGUCAAGUGCCCCCCGCCCCCUCAGUAUAUUCCUCAGCC